CCUACGGGGGGCAGCAGUGGGGAAUAUUGGACAAUGGGGGGAACCCUGAUCCAGCCAUGCCGCGUGUGUGAAGAAGGCCCUCGGGUUGUAAAGCACUUUCAGUGAGGAAGAACGCCUGGUGGUUAAUACCCAUCAGGAAAGACAUCACUCACAGAAGAAGCACCGGCUAACUCCGUGCCAGCAGCCGCGGUAAUACGGAGGGUGCGAGCGUUAAUCGGAAUUACUGGGCGUAAAGCGCGCGUAGGUGGCUUGAUAAGCCGGUUGUGAAAGCCCCGGGCUCAACCUGGGAACGGCAUCCGGAACUGUCAAGCUAGAGUGCAGGAGAGGAAGGUAGAAUUCCCGGUGUAGCGGUGAAAUGCGUAGAGAUCGGGAGGAAUACCAGUGGCGAAGGCGGCCUUCUGGACUGACACUGACACUGAGGUGCGAAAGCGUGGGUAGCAACAGGAUUAGAUACCCUAGUAGUC
rnacentral:rRNA from 1 species